UCUUGACAUCCAGAGAACUUUCCAGAGAUGGAUUGGUGCCUUCGGGAACUCUGAGACAGGUGCUGCAUGGCUGUCGUCAGCUCGUGUUGUGAAAUGUUGGGUUAAGUCCGCAACGAGCGCAACCCCUAUCCUUUGUUGCCAGCGAUUCGGUCGGGAACUCAAAGGAGACUGCCGGUGAUAAACCGGAGGAAGGUGGGGAUGACGUCAAGUCAUCAUGGCCCUUACGAGUAGGGCUACACACGUGCUACAAUGGCGUAUACAAAGAGAAGCAACCUCGCGAGAGCAAGCGGACCUCAUAAAGUACGUCGUAGUCCGGAUUGGAGUCUGCAACUCGACUCCAUGAAGUCGGAAUCGCUAGUAAUCGUAGAUCAGAAUGCUACGGUGAAUACGUUCCCGGGCCUUGUACACACCGCCCGUCACACCAUGGGAGUGGGUUGCAAAAGAAGUAGAUAGCUUAACCUUCGGGAGGGCGUUUACCACUUUGUGAUUCAUGACUGGGGUGAAGUCGUAACAAGGUAAGCGUAGCGAG
rnacentral:rRNA from 1 species